AAGUCGUAACAAGGUUUCCGUAGGUGAACCUGCGGAAGGAUCAUUAUUGAAUUUAGAAGGGGUUGUAGCUGAUCCUUUGAGAUAAUGUGCACACCCCUAUCCAAAUCUCACACCCUGUGCACCUUUUGUAGGCCGACAUUGUUGGCCUAUGUUUUUUAAUACACCACUGUCAUAAAGUUUUAGAAUGCCAUUUGAAAAAAAUUAUACAACUUUCAACAACGGAUCUCUUGGCUCUCGCAUCGAUGAAGAACGCAGCGAAAUGCGAUAAGUAAUGUGAAUUGCAGAAUUCAGUGAAUCAUCGAAUCUUUGAACGCACCUUGCGCUCCUCGGUAUUCCGAGGAGCAUGCCUGUUUGAGUGUCAUUCAAUUCUCAAACCUCUCAAAUUUAUAUAGAGAGGCCUUUGGACUUGGAGUGUUGCUGGCCUUCAUUUUGUCAGCUCCUCUUAAAUGCAUUAGCUUGUUACCUUGUGGAUAAGCUUUGGUUUGAUAAUAUCUAUGCCAUCGCUGUGAAACAAAUGUCAGCUUCUAAAACCAUUCAUAUCUUAACAAUUUGACCUCAAAUCAGGUAGGACUACCCGCUGAACUUAAGCAUAUCAAUAAGCGGAGGAAAAGAAACUAACAAGGAUUCCCCUAGUAACUGCGAGUGAAGCGGGAAAAGCUCAAAUUUAAAAUCUGGCAGCUGUAUGGCUGUCCGAGUUGUAAUCUAGAGAAGUGCUUUCCGCGUUGGACCGUGUACAAGUCUCUUGGAACAGAGCGUCAUAGAGGGUGAGAAUCCCGUCUUUGACACGGACUGCCAGUGCUUAUGUGAUGCGCUCUCAAAGAGUCGAGUUGUUUGGGAAUGCAGCUCAAAAUGGGUGGUAAAUUCCAUCUAAAGCUAAAUAUUGGCGAGAGACCGAUAGCGAACAAGUACCGUGAGGGAAAGAUGAAAAGAACUUUGGAAAGAGAGUUAAACAGUACGUGAAAUUGUUGAAAGGGAAACGCUUGAAGUCAGUCGCGUUGGCCAGAAAUCAACCUUCAAAGGUGCACUUUCUGGUUUUACGGGUCAGCAUCAAUUUUGAUUGUUGGAUAAAAGUCAAUAUUUAUGCAUCUUCGGAUGUAUAGCCUUUGGUUGCAUACAACAGUUGGGAUUGAGGAACUCAGCACGCCGCAAGGCCGGGUCUCUUUUGAUCACGCACGUGCUUAGGAUGCUGGCAUAAUGGCUUUAAUCGACC
rnacentral:rRNA from 1 species